rnacentral:rRNA from 1 species
UACGUAGGGUGCGAGCGUUGUCCGGAAUUAUUGGGCGUAAAGGGCUCGUAGGCGGUUUGUCGCGUCGGGAGUGAAAACCAUGGGCUUAACUCAUGGCUUGCUUUCGAUACGGGCAGACUAGAGGUAUGCAGGGGAGAACGGAAUUCCUGGUGUAGCGGUGAAAUGCGCAGAUAUCAGGAGGAACACCGGUGGCGAAGGCGGUUCUCUGGGCAUUACCUGACGCUGAGGAGCGAAAGUGUGGGGAGCGAACAGG